GGCUUUUGCCCAUGAGAUUCAAUCUCUGCAACAUGGAAGCAGUGUCUAGAGUUCAAUGUUCUACAUAGAGCCCUUCAAACAUCUACUGGCUAAUUAAGGCUGGAAAGUCAGUCACUUUAGUCAGCCCCCCACCACUGGCAGGAUAAGACCCCGAGAUUUCACUCUCUUAUGAUGUGUGGGUCAGCUAAAGCAAACUGAAGACUUCUUCCAUCUGAUUCGGACAUGGCAUCUGAUUCAGCACCCCCUGAGAGACAAGCUUUGGUUUCUGCCUGCAGCACUGAGUUCCUGAAAAAGUGCCAAACUGAAUGGUGCAGUCCUGCCGAAAGAGACCCUGCGCUGUGCUGUGUUCUCAAAGGAAGGAAUGUGUUUCACAUCUCUACACCUCUGCAACUUGGGACAGCGUAGCUUUCCUAUUUUCUGGCACCCAAAAAGGGACAGCUGAUACACCCCACUCACUCCAGACUCUGCAGAUGAGAUCUGGGACAACUGACAAAAAGCUGGAGACAGGUAAGAAUUCUUGCCAAGGUCAGCUCUCCUGGAUCUUUAUCAGUAGCACCCCGUGGAGAGAAGAAGGUUAAAAACUUUUUCUUUCCCCUUACUUCCCAAAUUCUGAGUAUCAAGAGAAAAUCAUUUGUUUGAAUUGUGACUCCUAUGUAAAUGUGAUUUGGGGUACCCAUUCAUUAUUGAUCCUUUCCCUCCCAGGGACAGCUAUAACUUUC
rnacentral:lncRNA from 1 species